ACACUGAAAGGAGGUGAUCCUGAGUUGAAUUCCAUCAGGAUGUGUGAGGUGGCUGCUCGCUAGAGCCGCCCCUGCCUGUGCAGUAGUGAGGCCGGUACCAGCCUCCGGCGGCAGGCAAUUCCCAGCAGUCACCCGGCCCGUGGGUUCACCGGAGACAUCCCCGGUGCCUCGUCGGCCGCCCUCU
rnacentral:sRNA from 1 species